AUUGAACGCUGGCGGCAGGCCUAACACAUGCAAGUCGAGCGGUAACACAGGGAGCUUUCCUCAGGGUGACGAGCGGCGGACGGGUGAGCAAUGACCGGGAAACUGCCUGAGGGAGGGCGAUAACUAAUGGAAACGGUAGCUACUACCGAUUAACGUCGCAAGACCAAAGAGGGGGACCUUCGGGCCUCUUGGCAUCAGAUGUGCCCAGAUGGGAUUAGGUAGUAGGUGGGGUAAAGGCUCACCUAGGCGACGAUCCGUAGCUGGUCUGAGAGGAUGACCAGCCACACUGGAACUGAGACACGGUCCAGACUCCUAUGGGAGGCAGCAGUGGGGAAUAUUGGACAAUGGGCGCAAGCCUGAUGCAGCCAUGCCGCGUGUAUGAAGAAGGCCUUCGGGUUGUAAAGUACUUUCAGCGGGGAGGAAGGCGAUAAGGUUAAUAACCUGGUCUAUUGACGUUACCCGCAGAAGAAGCACCGGCUAACUCCGUGCCAGCCGCCGCAGUAA
rnacentral:rRNA from 1 species